UACGUAGGGUGCGAGCGUUGUCCGGAAUUAUUGGGCGUAAAGGGCUCGUAGGCGGUCUGUUGCGUCGGGAGUGAAAACUCAGGGCUUAACCCUGAGCCUGCUUCCGAUACGGGCAGACUAGAGGUAUGCAGGGGAGAACGGAAUUCCUGGUGUAGCGGUGAAAUGCGCAGAUAUCAGGAGGAACACCGGUGGCGAAGGCGGUCUCUCGGGCAUUACCUGACGCUGAGGAGCGAAAGUGUGGGGAGCGAACAGG
rnacentral:rRNA from 1 species